rnacentral:rRNA from 1 species
CUCCUACGGGAGGCAGCAGUGGGGAAUAUUGGACAAUGGGCGCAAGCCUGAUCCAGCCAUGCCGCGUGUGUGAAGAAGGCCUUUUGGUUGUAAAGCACUUUAAGCGAGGAGGAGGCUCCUUUAGUUAAUACCUAAAGUGAGUGGACGUUACUCGCAGAAUAAGCACCGGCUAACUCUGUGCCAGCAGCCGCGGUAAUACAGAGGGUGCGAGCGUUAAUCGGAUUUACUGGGCGUAAAGCGUGCGUAGGCGGCUUUUUAAGUCGGAUGUGAAAUCCCUGAGUUAACUUAGGAAUUGCAUUCGAUACUGGAAAGCUAGAGUAUGGGAGAGGAUGGUAGAAUUCCAGGUGUAGCGGUGAAAUGCGUAGAGAUCUGGAGGAAUACCGAUGGCGAAGGCAGCCAUCUGGCCUAAUACUGACGCUGAGGUACGAAAGCAUGGGGAGCAAACAGGAUUAGA